AGAUCUCACCAAUGUUGUCUGGGCUGGACUUGAACUCCCAAAAUUGUUGGGAUUACAGGCGUAAGCUGCUGCGCCCAGCUGAAAGAGACCAUUCUGAGAGAGGUUAUGGGAGCCUCAGCAGGCUAUGAGACAAGCCUCAGCCAGGGCAGGAGCCUGGAAGCAGUUUCCAGACCUUUGGCCCCUGCCCCCGGGCUGCCCCUGCCUGUCCUCCCAGCCCCAGCUUGUAACUGGACGCCCUCCUCACUCUGCACCUUCCCAGGUGAUGCUUUUGGAAUCUUAAGGAAAUGGAGUCUGGCCUGUGGAGUUUUGGGGACAGAGCUGGGGGAAAGGAAGCAUCCCAUGUUUGGUCCUUUAUUCAAAGGCCCUGAACACUAAGGUGAGGCCUCAGAUACCUGGAUGCCCAUCCUGGAUCUGCCAUUUACAGCCAUAUGACCUAGAGCCACCCACCUUCUGUAGCCUUGAUUUCCUCUGUAAACUAGGUCUAAAGAUUCCACUGUAGACCUGGCGCAGUGGCCCACACCUGUAAUCCCAGCACUUUGGGAGG